CAUCCGCUCGUCGUGGUCGCUUCGAUGGAAAUCCAACGAUGGAGCAGCGUUAAACGAUCUCUCCGUUGUUUCUCCAGCUCGAGCGCACGCCCGAGUCGUGACGCCGUCAGCAUCAAACGGAGCAGCGCCCACAACCGUCCCCGUCACGAGCGCCUUCCUCCCGUUCGCCAAGGACAAGGCCGUGGCGGAGGGCGCCGUCGCCGCGGCGCUGCCGGAGCUCGCCCUCGCGCCAGCGGAGAAAGACGCGGUCACCUCCGCCAUCGAGGUUGACUGGAAGCCGUACCUUGACGCCGAAAGCAACAACGGUGUGCUAGGCUCGCAGAGAGGCGUCCAGAACGGGGUGAAGCCAGCCUCGACCGCGUCGGAAGGGCAGGCUGCGCCGUUCCCGCCGCAGACCAACCGGAAGGCUCGGCGGUGCUGGUCGCGGGAGCUGCAAUGCCCUCCAAAUCCUCAGCGGUGCCCAAGUGGCGACCCUGAAGCAGAUCCGUGACCUGAUGAAGGUCAAUGGAUUGACAAAUGAUGAGGUGAAAAGCCAUCUCCAGGAUUUGUUAGUUAAGCACAAAAGGGCUAAAUUAUUAGGGUCCAUUGUCCAGCCAUAACGGGGAAUUGAAGUCUCUGACAUGGAGAGCAAAGUGCCUGAUGUUCUUUGGCUCGAAGUUUCUACUGGCAAGGAUCCCAUGGAUGGUCUCAGUGAUUGUGCGCGCAGAUCUCUGGUGAAGCAAAUGGUUGCAGUAAGGGACAUGUCCAGCAUGUUACUCGAAUUGUUGGCAAUGGAACAAGUUGAAUCAAAUUAGGCCUUGCCAUUGCCAUUGCCUAGUUGUUUGUAAUGGGUAAGAAGAUAAACAAAUUCCUCUUCAAGCCUUGCCAUUGCCAUUGCCUAUUGGGAUUGCUACCAGUGGAGCGUCAAAGUGGUGUGAAAGCUUGAGUGAACCAAUACAGAUUCUGUAAUGCAAUGUAAUUUUGUAAUGCAAUGAGUGGAGAAAAGUUUCAUGUUUGUGAAUAAAAGAUUCUAUAAUGCAAUGUAAUUCUGUAAUGUAAUGUACAGAUUCUAUAUGUAAUGUACAGAUACUAUUCAUAUUUGUGAAUAGAAGA